rnacentral:rRNA from 1 species
UUCCAGACUCCUACGGGAGGCAGCAGUGGGGAAUAUUGCACAAUGGGGGGAACCCUGAUGCAGCGACGCCGCGUGAGUGAAGAAGUAUUUCGGUAUGUAAAGCUCUAUCAGCAGGGAAGAAAAUGACGGUACCUGACUAAGAAGCCCCGGCUAACUACGUGCCAGCAGCCGCGGUAAUACGUAGGGGGCAAGCGUUAUCCGGAUUUACUGGGUGUAAAGGGAGCGUAGACGGUUAUGCAAGUCUGGAGUGAAAGGCGGGGGCUCAACCCCCGGACUGCUCUGGAAACUGUAGAACUAGAGUGCAGGAGGGGUAAGUGGAAUUCCUAGUGUAGCGGUGAAAUGCGUAGAUAUUAGGAGGAACACCAGUGGCGAAGGCGGCUUACUGGACUGUAACUGACGUUGAGGCUCGAAAGCGUGGGGAGCGAAAGGGAUUAGAUACCCUAGUAC